rnacentral:tRNA from 1 species
UGGGGCGUCGCCAAGUGGUUAAGGCACCGGGUUUUGAUCCCGGCACCCGCAGGUUCGAAUCCUGCCGCCCCAGCCA